AGGGCGCACGGUGGAUGCCUUGGCACUAGGAGCCGACGAAGGACGUGACAAACGACGAUAUACCUUGGGUAGCUGUAAGUAAGCGAUGAUCCAGGGAUUUCCGAAUGGGGGAACCCAACAGGUAAUACCUGUUACCCACAUCUGCUAAGGAUGUGAGGAGGAAGACGCAGUGAACUGAAACAUCUAAGUAGCUGCAGGAAGAGAAAGCAAAAGCGAUUGCCUUAGUAGCGGCGAGCGAACCGGCAGAAGGGCAAACCGAAGAGUUUACUCUUCGGGGUUGUAGGACUGCAAUGUGGACUCAAAGAUUAUAGAAGAAUGAUUUGGGAAGAUCAGCCAAAGAGAGUAAUAGCCUCGUAUUUAAAAUAGUCUUUGUACCUAGCAGUAUCCUGAGUACGGCGGGACACGUGAAAUCCCGUCGGAAUCUGGGAGGACCAUCUCCCAACCCUAAAUACUCCCUAGUGACCGAUAGUGAACCAGUACCGUGAGGGAAAGGUGAAAAGCACCCCGGGAGGGGAGUGAAAUAGAACCUGAAACCGUGUGCCUACAACAAGUUCGAGCCCGUUAAUGGGUGAGAGCGUGCCUUUUGUAGAAUGAACCGGCGAGUUACGUUAUGAUGCGAGGUUAAGUUGAAGAGACGGAGCCGUAGGGAAACCGAGUCUGAACAGGGCGAAUUAGUAUCAUGACGUAGACCCGAAACCAUGUGACCUACCCAUGAGCAGGUUGAAGGUGCGGUAAGACGCACUGAGGACCGAACCAGGGCACGUUGAAAAGUGCUUGGAUGACUUGUGGGUAGCGGAGAAAUUCCAAACGAACUUGGAGAUAGCUGGUUCUCUCCGAAAUAGCUUUAGGGCUAGCGUCGACAUUAGAGAUUCUUGGAGGUAGAGCACUGUUUGGGUGAGGGGUCCAUCCCGGAUUACCAAUCUCAGAUAAACUCCGAAUGCCAAUGAAUUAUGGUCGGCAGUCAGACUGCGAGUGCUAAGAUCCGUAGUCGAAAGGGAAACAGCCCAGACCACCAGCUAAGGUCCCAAAAUAAUUGUUAAGUGGAAAAGGAUGUGGGGUUGCACAGACAACUAGGAUGUUAGCUUAGAAGCAGCUAUUCAUUCAAAGAGUGCGUAAUAGCUCACUAGUCGAGUGACCCUGCGCCGAAAAUGUACCGGGGCUAAAACAAUUUACCGAAGCUGUGGAUACCUUUAUAGGUAUGGUAGGAGAGCGUUCUAUGUGUGAUGAAGGUAUACCGUGAGGAGUGCUGGAACGCAUAGAAGUGAGAAUGCCGGUAUGAGUAGCGAAAGACAGGUGAGAAUCCUGUCCACCGUAAGACUAAGGUUUCCAGGGGAAGGCUCGUCCGCCCUGGGUUAGUCGGGACCUAAGGAGAGACCGAAAGGUGUAUCCGAUGGACAACAGGUUGAUAUUCCUGUACUAGAGUAUGUAGUGAUGGAGGGACGCAGUAGGCUAACUAAAGCAGACGAUUGGAAGAGUCUGUCUAAGCAGUGAGGUGUGAAUUGAGUCAAAUGCUUAAUUCUAUAACAUUGAGCUGUGAUGGGGAGCGAAGUUUAGUAGCGAAGUUAGUGACGUCACACUGCCAAGAAAAGCUUCUAGCGUUUAAACAUACUCUACCCGUACCGCAAACCGACACAGGUAGUCGAGGCGAGUAGCCUCAGGUGAGCGAGAGAACUCUCGUUAAGGAACUCGGCAAAAUGACCCCGUAACUUCGGGAGAAGGGGUGCUGACUUUAGGUCAGCCGCAGUGAAUAGGCCCAAGCAACUGUUUAUCAAAAACACAGCUCUCUGCUAAAUCGUAAGAUGAUGUAUAGGGGGUGACGCCUGCCCGGUGCUGGAAGGUUAAGAGGAGUGCUUAGCGUAAGCGAAGGUAUGAAUUGAAGCCCCAGUAAACGGCGGCCGUAACUAUAACGGUCCUAAGGUAGCGAAAUUCCUUGUCGGGUAAGUUCCGACCCGCACGAAAGGCGUAAUGAUUUGGGCACUGUCUCAACGAGAGACUCGGUGAAAUUUUAGUACCUGUGAAGAUGCAGGUUACCCGCGACAGGACGGAAAGACCCCAUGGAGCUUUACUGCAGUUUGAUAUUGAGUGUCUGUACCACAUGUACAGGAUAGGUAGGAGUCUAAGAGAUCGGGACGCCAGUUUCGAAGGAGACGCUGUUGGGAUACUACCCUUGUGUUAUGGCCACUCUAACCCAGAUAGGUGAUCCCUAUCGGAGACAGUGUCUGACGGGCAGUUUGACUGGGGCGGUCGCCUCCUAAAAGGUAACGGAGGCGCCCAAAGGUUCCCUCAGAAUGGUUGGAAAUCAUUCGCAGAGUGUAAAGGUAUAAGGGAGCUUGACUGCGAGAGCUACAACUCGAGCAGGGACGAAAGUCGGGCUUAGUGAUCCGGUGGUUCCGUAUGGAAGGGCCAUCGCUCAACGGAUAAAAGCUACCCUGGGGAUAACAGGCUUAUCUCCCCCAAGAGUUCACAUCGACGGGGAGGUUUGGCACCUCGAUGUCGGCUCGUCGCAUCCUGGGGCUGUAGUCGGUCCCAAGGGUUGGGCUGUUCGCCCAUUAAAGCGGCACGCGAGCUGGGUUCAGAACGUCGUGAGACAGUUCGGUCCCUAUCCGUCGCGGGCGUAGGAAAUUUGAGAGGAUCUGCUCCUAGUACGAGAGGACCAGAGUGGACUUACCGCUGGUGUACCAGUUGUCUUGCCAAAGGCAUCGCUGGGUAGCUAUGUAGGGAAGGGAUAAACGCUGAAAGCAUCUAAGUGUGAAACCCACCUCAAGAUGAGAUUUCCCAUGAUUAU
rnacentral:rRNA from 1 species